rnacentral:rRNA from 1 species
GACGAACGCUGGCGGCGUGCUUAACACAUGCAAGUCGAACGGAAAGGCCCUGCUUUUGUGGGGUGCUCGAGUGGCGAACGGGUGAGUAACACGUGAGUAACCUGCCCUUGACUUUGGGAUAACUUCAGGAAACUGGGGCUAAUACCGGCUAGGAGCUCCUGCUGUUUGGUGGGGGUUGGAAAGUUUCGGCGGUUGGGGAUGGACUCGCGGCUUAUCAGCUUGUUGGUGGGGUAGUGGCUUACCAAGGCUUUGACGGGUAGCCGGCCUGAGAGGGUGACCGGCCACGUUGGGACUGAGAUACGGCCCAGACUCCUACGGGAGGCAGCAGUGGGGAAUAUUGCACAAUGGGCGGAAGCCUGAUGCAGCAACGCCGCGUGCGGGAUGACGGCCUUCGGGUUGUAAACCGAUGUCGCCUGUGACGAAGCGUGAGUGACGGUAAUGGGUAAAGAAGCACCGGCUAACUACGUG